AUUCUCCUUGAUAACAGCGACGAUGUUGUUUUAUGGUCUGCGAAAUUAUCGCCAGCACCAGGGAGGAUAACGUUGCGUAAGCAACGGCCCGUAGGGCGAGGCGCAGCCGAGUAAUCCUCCUGGAUGCACCA
rnacentral:sRNA from 1 species